GACGUAGGGGGCGAGCGUUGUCCGGAUUUAUUGGGCGUAAAGAGCGUGUAGGCGGCCAGGUAGGUCUGCUGUGAAAACUCGAGGCUCAACCUCGAGACGUCGGCGGAAACCAUCUGGCUAGAGUCCGGAAGAGGAGAGUGGAAUUCCUGGUGUAGCGGUGAAAUGCGCAGAUAUCAGGAAGAACACCCGUGGCGAAGGCGGCUCUCUGGGACGGUACUGACGCUGAGACGCGAAAGCGUGGGGAGCGAAUAGG
rnacentral:rRNA from 1 species